rnacentral:rRNA from 1 species
UACGUAGGGACCAAGCGUUGUCCGGAUUUAUUGGGCGUAAAGAGCUCGUAGGCGGUUAUCCACGUCGGAUGUGAAAGCUCAGGGCUCAACCCUGAGAUGCCAUUCGAUACGGGAUAGCUAGAGGUAGGUAGGGGAAAGUGGAAUUCCUGGUGUAGCGGUGAAAUGCGCAGAUAUCAGGAGGAACACCGGUGGCGAAGGCGGCUUUCUGGGCCUUACCUGACGCUGAGGAGCGAAAGCUGGGGGAGCGAACAGG